AAGUCGUAACAAGGUUUCCGUAGGUGAACCUGCGGAAGGAUCAUUAGCGAAGUUCGGAAUGCAUGUUCGGUGUUGAUGCUGCCCAGCAAUGGGAUGUGCUCGCUCGGAUGUGUGUCCCUUCUCUAUCCACCCCACUGUGAACCAAGUGUGUGAGCCGAAGAGAAAUCGGACGCUCGCAUGCAAACCUUUAACAUACCCCAAUUAAGUAUCAGAAUGUACCUUGCGUUAACUCGCACAAAUAUAACUUUCAACAACGGAUCUCUUGGUUCUG
rnacentral:misc_RNA from 1 species